UGCGUAGGCGGAAUAAUAAGUCAGUGGUGAAAUCCUGUGGCUCAACCACAGAACUGCCAUUGAUACUGUUAUUCUUGAAUAUAGUUGAGGUAGGCGGAAUGUGUAAUGUAGCGGUGAAAUGCUUAGAUAUUACACAGAACACCGAUUGCGAAGGCAGCUUGCUAAACUAUUAUUGACGCUGAGGCACGAAAGCGUGGGGAGCGAACAGGAUUAGAUACCCCGGUAGUCC
rnacentral:rRNA from 1 species